UUUGUUCAGAUGGUCAAUUCAGGGAAAGUAUUCAUACUCGACUACCAAUUGCUUCAUGGUAUUGAUACCCUUGAGGACUACACGGAACGGAACACUACAGACAGGCGAGAAAUGAGGGGAUCACGAAGUCCGUUCUGUACGUUUGUUGUAGCCAACGUGGGAGGUGUUAAGAAAUUGAAACCAGUCGCGAUUCAGACGGACUUAUUUUCAGG